GAGCCAACAGAAACAAUCUUCUCAUCAAUGGUCUGAGCAUCCAUGAGGAUUCACGUGAACCUAUACAUCUCCAGCUUAGUCAGCCACAAGAAGAAAACCACGAUGAUACACCACCAACGCAAGGAACCACAAACCUAGGGUACAAUUAAUUAUUAUUCCUUCCGUCACAUCUAAUUUAUUAAACUACUUCUAAAGAGUUUCACAUUGGAUUGCUGCAGCAGACUACAGCUGCAUUAGCAAAGAGAUUGCCCGGGUGGAAAACUAAAUUGUACAGUGGCCCAUAUAUUACAGACUGAGCCUUUAGUGCAGUGGUAUAUGAGCUGCUGACUAUUGAAACGUGAAGGCUUUUCUUUUCCAUGAUAAUAUUUUUUAAAGAAAAAUUACAUGUGUGAGGUUCAAGGAAAUUUGCUACUUAUAUGAAGAUAAUACUUUUAAUUGUAAUAAAGAGGACUGGCGUUGUGUUGUGUUGUGUUAUGAUGUGCUUUAAGUGGUCAGAGUAGUGUAAACUGACGAGAUAAAAAAGCAUUCUAUUUAAGUUAUAUUUCAUAAUUAAAACAAACUGUGGGAACAAGAGACAUGAACACGUCAAAGGUAGAUUCACAUUCAUCAAGGGACACACAAGAGACUUACAAUAAAUCACAAACUUCAGCAGCAACAGCACCUACUAGACCAACUCAGCCUGCACAAAUUACAUGUAUAAAUUCACAACACUUGUACAUCAAACUUGGUUCAAAACAUCUUCUGAAGGGAAAUGAAGCAAGUUCAAUACUAUGAGGCAGCUUAGGACAGACGAUCCUUAAGAAGAAGCAAGUUCAUUCUCACCUACCGCAGGAUAUCAUCAACUUUGUUUUGGAUUAGCACUUUCAGUUGGUUGCAACGAAAAAAUUGAUUGCAUAAAUUACACCAGACUAAUGAUUCUCCAAAUAGUACAUGAUGCUAAAUAUUAUUUUUCUGGCAGCAGUCUAGGACAGUGAAAACAAAGUGCCAAACCAUAAUGCAGAUGAGAAACCCAGAAUCAAAUUCACAAUGACCAAUUUGGCAUCUUUAUUUUUUAUUUUCUAGAGAAUUGCAGAGGAUAAGUAAUGAAAAAACAGUGAAGAGGAUCCAACAACGUAGGACAUAGAACAAAAAAAAAGAUAAUGCAUAGCAAAUAAGAGAACCGGAUAAAGGGUUAUAUAGCCUUUGGUUCCAUUUUAUAUCAUUAAGAAGAAUUUAUCAUUGUGCAUGGGUGGAAAGUUCAAUUAACUCUCAUUAUAUGGCAGUCAAAAUUCUUACACCCUUAGACCUGUCUGAAGCUUUAUGAAUCAAUGAUACCAGAGAAGAACUACAGUAGUAGCUGCAGAGACACUUGCUCUUUGUGCACCUUCCCUCACUACCAAUCCUCUAGUAAAAUGAUCCCUCAGUACAUGAAUUAAACCACAUGCAUUAAAAAGAGACUAAUGCCAUAAGAUGGCAGACCUUAGUGUGGAAUUCCAGAAUAAUGAUUCUGGUAUGAUUGAUAUUAUUGCUGAGAUGUUGUUUACAUAUAUAUAUACAGGGUCUGCACCAUUAGGGUGCAGAAUCACCUCAUUUGUAAUCCCUAUAAAUCAGGGAUUACUCUACCUACUACUUACUACUAUUAUUCUGCAUAGAUUAGGCUAGAAGAAUCAAAUAAUCCAGCUAACCUACUCUGAUUUCUACGCCUACUUCUUCCGAUCUAAUUACUGUAAUUCAACACUUAGGUAUGCCAUAGACAAUUAUGAUUGAAGCUAACUGAAUAAGCAAACGGACUCAAAUAAAGAAGUAACUACGACCCUCAAAUUUGAAGGUGCACACAUGCUCCACAAAAGUCACGACUAGCCAAAAAGAUCAAAAGAAUUUCCCAAGGCUAAGGGACAUUAGUGGUCUCUUGUUUAGACAUGCAAGAGAAGCAAAGUGAGUUUUUACCGACAAUGAUACCAAAUUGAGAACUUUAGAAAAACUUAGUAUAAAAGUUAAUAUUUGGUUAGAGUUUGUAAUGGAAGCCAAUUGAAAGUGCUAGAGUGGCAUAUUUUGAUAUCGAGGGGGCAUCAACAAUUAAUUGAGACUAGUGGGCAAUAAGUCAUUUCCUUUGAAGUCUUCGAAGGAAAUGAGUUAGUGCCUGAGUUUUGAAGGAUUGUAACACUUGUACCCUUUCGUGUAACCUGAGUAAUUCAAGAACACACAUUUAACAAAGAGGUUCAAAUUGUGAGCGUUGGUGUGCAUAAAAAUGUACAAACGCAGUGCAACCAAACACCUUAAGAGGGAGAUCAGCUGAGAAUGCAUGAAAAUGUGAAUUACUCUGAAAAGUGAAGAGAGGGCUCUUGUACUCCAAGUUCUGACUUGGCACCCUAUUGAUAAGAUAGGUAGUGGUGAGUAGGGCUUAACCCCAUAAGUACUUUGGAACAUGAGUACCGAACAUAAGGGAUCGUGUCAUGUCAAAAAGAUGACGAUUCUUACGUUCAGCAAUGUCGCUCCCUUAAUUUCAGCCAUUGAUCCAUUGGCAAUCCUUAUCCAUGCAUUCUUUAGGUAAGGAUAGGUUGCAGGUUGUGGAUGAUAGACGCAUCUACUUUCGUAUUGUCAGUGCAACCAUAAUCGACUCUCCAUGCAUUACACUGUUUAUGGUGACUAAGAUAGGCCCAAGAAAUACCUCAUUGUGCAACCAUUCUCGUGUGACGUUCAGAAGAUCGUGACAAUCUAGCUUGGCUUGAGAACUUGUGGACUUCUGAAGCAACUCAAUUUGUCCCGCUAAGAAUGAGUCUAAAGGGCUUGUUUGUUUGUCUUCGACCUUCUUAGCUACGUUGACACGUUCGUGCCUCUUCGUUUUGGACUUCCACCCAGGUGGUCCACCAAUGAUAUGCCAACACUCCUCCUUGGUAUGGCAUGUGCGUUUGAAAUGAUCACAUCCUUUGAUAGCCAACACAAAGCCUUCCUCAACAAUCUUCAAUAAGCCUGUGGCAUCACACGAUGACGACUUGUCCCCUUGUCGGAUCUCGACAAAAGCUUUUGGAAGUUCCAGAAGGGGUUUCUUAUUCAUCACCCUGCUUCUAGCAGAAUCAAGGUUAUCAUUUAAUCCCAACAAUUCGGGUCUCCCCCGCUAAUUCCUUAAUUCUUAUAGAGAGUCGCAUCAGUAGUGGAAGUACAGUUGGGGGACACAAAUGGCAUAAGGUAUUGUAGUAUUCUAAAAUGCACUUAUCACCUUGUUUAAGAUUGUAUAGCCUUGGUCUCUAUGUCAAUAAUUCUUGUUGUGUUGUCAACAUGGGAGUAAGCAUCUUUAUCUAAAAAACAUUGGAGUAAGCAUCUUCCACAUAAUCCCAAAUAUCCUUUGCGGUCUUGUCGAGGAGGAAGUGAUCUCUAAUGGUUGUGGUCAUAAAGCUAAGUAACCAUGUUUUCACAAGGUUAUCAUUCAGCUUCCGAUCCUUGAACUUGGAGUCGGACUCCUCAGGUGUGGAGGUUUCCCCUGUCAGAUAGCCAUCUUUUCCUCUGCUGCUAAUGAAGAUGAGGAAUGACUAGGACGACUGGAGAUAGUUAUCAUCGAUCAACUUGUGAGAACUGAUGUAGGUCCUGUAGUUUGUUGGUGUGGGAUUGGUUGGAGAUGUAAAUGGGUUUGAUGGUCUCUAGUUUCUCCAGACAGAAUCCCUCCAACAGCUCCAAACUUGAAGGUGGUUGACGCCAUUAAUGGAAAGAACACAUUGUAUGAUAGAGAAAGAAGAGAGAUAGUUGGCGGCUUAUAGUUGAUUCGCAACCGAAGCUUUGAUGCCAUGCAAAUGUUUAGGCCAGAAAUAUUCCCUUCUGAUUAUUAUUUUUUUCUUAGGCAAGAAACGUAUAUGUCGGAAGUAGUAAGGUGCGUACCAUAAGUAGAACACUGAACUACCUAUUUAGGAAUGUAAAAUAAGCUAUGUAAUAAUACUAGUUAUUAGCCUAACUUUAUCAUGGGAUACGUGAGUAUCCACCAUAUGUCUAUAGUGUUCUGAGUUUCUACAACCUUUACAACAUAGAGGCAAUUACUAGAAUGUGGACAAGACUUAUGAAAAGGGAUCCAUGAUCAGGCGCAAUCAAAUAUUCACAAAAGAAACCAAUUUAUAUUUAGUUUUGAGUAUUCUUCAAUUCUGAAUUGUCUAAGUGCUACUUAACUUAACAUUGUCCAUCUUUGUUAAACUUGGUUACUAUCUUUUUGGCAAUUAUAAGGGUUGUUUUCCCGCUUCAUCAAUUAACAAUGCAGCAGUUUAGGAGGAGUACCUAUUGAUCCUAUAGUGUUCUAGAUUUAUGACAAAUUUGAUAAUUAUGAAACAAUGGAUUUUUUAUACAAGUUCCCACAUAGAUUAAUCUCACAAUUAGUUCAGAUUUAUGAAAUUAGAGAGAGAAACACUUAUUCUUAAAUAGAUAGAGACUGUAUAUUAGCAAUGAGGUUAUUUUGUUUUAAACAAUAGCAGAAGUUGAAAUGAGAAGUCGGCAGUUGGAGCUCACGAUUCUUUUCAUGUCUAAAAGCUCUUGAACAUAAGGUUCUCAACCUAGGUUUUUAGUAGAGUAUAGAGCAUUUCUAAAACUCAUGUCAAGCGAACUCUAGAACUAAAAUCAGAAAACAUAUAGAGCCACUUAUAUUUUACUGGACAGUAAAACAUCUUUACUCAAAGAAUCAACAAAAAGAUCAAGAACUUAUGUCAUAUCAUGUUACGAUCAAUACAUGGAAAGACAACUUUGUAAACCUUAUCAAGGUAAACACAUGAAGUACUAAUGAGUACAACCAAAGCAGCUUACAUGUCAACUUCAAUCAAACAUUCACUAGUUUUCUCCUAUGAUCGACAGACAACAACAUGAGAGUCAAACAAACAUAGCACCCUCUAUUAAACGCUUUGGGCGUUAUUUCAAGUUCUUGCUAUUUUUCUGGAGACUAAAAUAGACCAAGCACUCCGUUGAAAUGUACUUUUGAUUUAUAAAUGUCGUAAGCCACGAACCACCAGAAGCAUCAAAUAGGAAGACAACUUGCAAUUCCAGAUACAAACCAAAACAUAAAGAGGAAAAUAAACAAUUGUAUUUGCUACUAGCUAGUAAACACAAUGUAAGGUUUCUAAUUGUGAUAGAAAUUACGAUCACAAAUUAGCAACCAAAGCUUGAGUCUGGAUUUAGGAAACCAAAACGAAGAGGUGUGCCUAGUAUAGCUACCUGAGCAAUAUUUUAUGUGGCUGUUUCCAACAGUGUGCUCAAGCAACCAUAUAAAACAAAACUUAAUUAGCUAGGUUGAUUUCGCGUUCUCGAAACCAAAACAAUCUAAGGAGACACAGAACAAUUCAACUGGCUAGGGAUUUGAUAAUGCAAUAAUCUGAAGAGAACGUAGCAGAAAACAUAAUCAGCAACUAUAACUCUUAGAAAAAACGGACUUACAUGCCAGUUGAUUGCAAUCCAGAUGGACUCGAAGAACCUCCCCCCAACCGCUUGAAUUGUCAGCUAAGUACACCUGAGAAUAAGAAAUCAUUAUCAAGUAUCAACCGAAGAAGGAAAAAGGAUACUAGUACUUAAACUGGAACAAAAAGCUGAGAAUUCUCCACUGAAAGAAAGAAGAAAAAAAGAAAGAAAAAAGACGCGAAAUCCUUUGCUGAGGGAACAAUGUAACUAAAGUUAAAGAUCAAAUCAAUUGUUAUUCAUGAUUAGCUGCCGCUAGAAGUCCCCCUCGAGUAUAACCACAAAGGCUCCCGAGAGAGAAGACUCGAAGUUAUCCAGCUCAGAGGAGAAUCCGCUGCUGAGGAGACGAACUUACUGAUCGAGUAACCGUAACUCAUGCGGAGAAGGCGUAGGUAUGGGAAAGCUUGUGACGCAACAAAAUGGCGAUUGAGAAGUUGUGGAGACCGCGACCUAGCAGAUGCAGAAUUUUGAAGGAGGACGGAAACCGGCCCAAACCAUGUUUUCCCAACUACAGUCUUUUCGGGUUAAAAGCAUGGCUGGGGAUUCAAAUUUUUGAGUUUAUAGCAUUUUGGUCAUUCGAUUUUGUUUCUUAACAAGUCCAUGGUUCGAUUAUUAAAAUGAUAACAAAAACAUUCUCCAUCCACUUCUAUCCUAUUUUCCAUCUAAAAUAUGAAAUUGAUAAGUUUGCCAUUAUGCCAUGUCACUUAGGACACCGUUUUAAAAUGUCACGAAUCAAAUUUUGAACAGGAUCAAAAUAUGUAUUUGUUUAUAGAAAUGAACGAAUCAUCAUUAAUUACUUACUUAAAACUCGAAUUAAAAAUUUAUUAAAAAACAAAGUUCAGAGCGACCAAAAUACUACCUAUUCAAAAUUAAAGUGACCAAAAUUUGAUAGUGAGGGACGCCGUUAUUGAAUCGGACGAUUGGAAUUGGCACACCCUUCAUCAUUGUUGCCUAAAGAGGCGCUGGCUCAUGUGGGAUAUGACACCCCAUAGGGCAAUGCCACAGACGGUUUUCUUUGGGGUUUCGAUGCCAGUGGUUGUUUUACUAUCAAAAGUGCUUACAAUACAAUCGUUGGAGUUCAUAACGUCCAGAGACAAUCAACAUAAAAAGCAAUUUGGAGAUGGAAGGGACAAAGCGUGUGGUUCAUUUUAUUACUUACCUUCGAAAGUCGUCUACUUACCAACUGGGAACGGUGCCACCGCCACUUGACCGAGUCGGAUGGAUCCAUUUCUGUCUUCGAGGGCCUGAAACGGCGAGCCACGUGAGAUUGCAAAAAUGCUCGCGAGCUUUGGAGCUGGAUUGUGGGCCAUAGAGGUUGGCUGACUUUUUUUUACUGAAAUUGGCUCCUCGCAUGUAUUAAACAUUGCACUCUCUCGUUGGAAUUUGGCUCUACCGCCCGGCUCUUAUAAAAAAUUAGGAAUGAAAUUAUUUUCAAACAGUCUAGCAUUCUUGUGAUUAGUUAUGUCUAUAAGUCUUUCAUUGCAUCGUUAGGGUUCGACGAUAAUGAGAGUGAGAGUAAGAAUUUGUGACGAUCGUAUACCUCAUCAUACCAAAAAUAUAAUCGGCUAGCAAGCCGCUAACGGCGAAUAUGUUAACUAUUAAUAUCAAUGGAUUGAUAUAUAGCCUUUGGCAUGGCGGUGGUAGGUGGCUUACUAACUGCGGAUCCGUGGCAAACAAAAUUAUGACAGAGCUAAUUUUUCAUUUUCAAAAAAAAUCUGAAAUUUAAAAUUCAAAUUGAAAACUCAAUACUCUAAACUAUAAAUCUAAAAAUCCAAUAUUCUAAAUUCUAAAUCUAAAAAUAAAUAAAAACGAAAAAAUAACAAAUUUAACCCUAAUUUAAAUUGAUUUUUUUCCGUCGGUAAUGGACGGUCCAAAUUACUUUUUGCCGCAACAAAUAAAAUUCCUCUAUUUGUUACGAAUCCGGAGUCCUAUACGCACAAUCAAAGUCGAUGCAUUGCUGCUGCCUUUGCCUCAACUCUGGGACGAUUCUCCAUUGCAAUAGCUGCAAUUCGGAGUGCGGAGUUGAUUCAAUAUAUGUAAUGGGGUUCCGCCAUAUCAAUCAUCAGCUUGGAAAAGGAGCCACUCCAACCCUAGUUCUAACACUGUGGUCGUGGAGCUUAAUGAAUAUUCUUUUAAUUAUUACAUAUAUAUAAAAUAACAGUGAUUAGGAGAUAGCUAGAUUUGCAGAGAAAGCAUCUAAUUAACCAAAAUAAGAAAAUGGCAAGCAAACCAAUGAAUACAUCAUUACCUGGAAAGAGUAAGGAACGAUAUGAGAUGGGUGAUGCUCAUAUAUCAGUGUUUGUAGAUUGCAAUAUAAUGCAUAUGGAACCGAUUGGAAUUCCAGCUCUUGCUCGUUCUUCCCGGCCUGUUGAAAUUUCAAAUUAGCGAGCGCCCAACAAGAAAGAAGAAGAAGAAGAAGAAGAAGAAGAAGAAGAAGAGGAGGAGGAGGAGGGAGGAAACCGUCUGUUUCCGAUUGGCAGGCAAGAAUAAUAUGCUGGAUGUCGGAAUGGAAAGGAAUGAGCAGAGGAAAUUGAAGAUUAAUGUCACAACUCAGCUGUUGAGCUUCAAUCAACGUAACGGAUAGGCAAACCCCAAAACCCAACUUUUUACAAGGAAGGAAAGCGACUUUAUGAAAUCGAUAGAAGAAGAAACACGUG
rnacentral:lncRNA from 1 species